rnacentral:rRNA from 1 species
AGUGAACGCUGGCGGUAGGCCUAACACAUGCAAGUCGAACGGUAGCACAGGAGAGCUUGCUCUCUGGGUGGCGAGUGGCGGACGGGUGAGGAAUACAUGGGAAUCUACCUUGUCGUGGGGGAUAACGUAGGGAAACUUUCGCUAAUACCGCAUACGACCUUGGGGCGAAAGGUGGGGACCGCAAGGCCUCAAGCGAAUAUCUGGGCCUAUGUGGGAUUAGCUAGUUGGCGGGGUAAAAGCCCACCAAGGCGACGAUCCGUAGCUGGUCUGAGAGGAUGAUCAGCCACACUGGAACUGAGACACGGUCCAGACUCCUACGGGAGGCAGCAGUGGGGAAUAUUGGGCAAUGGGCGCAAGCCUGAUCCAGCCAUGCCGCGUGAGUGAAGAAGGCCUUCGGGUUGUAAAGCCCUUUUGUUGGGAAAGAAAUCUUGCCGGUUAAUACCUGGCGAGAAUGACGGUACCCAAAGAAGAAGCACCGGCUAACUUCGUGCCAGCAGCCGCCGUAACAC